rnacentral:rRNA from 1 species
AUUGAACGCUGGCGGCAGGCCUAACCCAUGCACGUCGAGCGAUCGGCGGAAGGGUGAGAAAUGUCUGGGAAACUGCCUGAUGGAUGGGGAUAACUACUGGAAACGGUAGCUAAUACCGCAUACCAUCAGAUGUGCCCCGAUGGGAUUAGCUUGUAGGUGGGUUAACGGCUCACCUAGGCGACGAUCCCUAGCUGGUCUGAGAGGAUGACCAGCCACACUGGAACUGAGACACGGUCCAGAUUCCUACGGGGGGCAGAAGUGGGGAAUAUUGCACAAUGGGCGCAAGCCUGAUGCAGCCAUGCCGCGUGUGUGAAGAAGGCCUUCGGGUUGUAAAGCACGUUCAGCGGGGAGGCGUUACCCGCAGAAGAAGCACCGGCUAACUCCGUGCCAGCAGCCGCGGUAAUUC